rnacentral:tRNA from 1 species
CGCGGGGUUCCUCUGGUAGUGGCGACGCCCAAGUUCGGGCUAUAACCCGAAGGUCGCAGGUUCAAAUCCUGCCCCCGCUA